rnacentral:rRNA from 1 species
GGGCACUGCGGCGUGCUUACACAUGCAAGUCGAACGGUGAAGCCAAGCUUGCUUGGUGGAUCAGUGGCGAACGGGUGAGUAACACGUGAGCAACCUGCCCUGGACUCUGGGAUAAGCGCUGGAAACGGCGUCUAAUACUGGAUAUGAGCCCCUAUCGCAUGGUGGGGGUUGGAAAGAUUUUUUGGUCUGGGAUGGGCUCGCGGCCUAUCAGCUUGUUGGUGAGGUAAUGGCUCACCAAGGCGUCGACGGGUAGCCGGCCUGAGAGGGUGACCGGCCACACUGGGACUGAGACACGGCCCAGACUCCUACGGGAGGCAGCAGUGGGGAAUAUUGCACAAUGGGCGAAAGCCUGAUGCAGCAACGCCGCGUGAGGGAUGACGGCCUUCGGGUUGUAAACCUCUUUUAGCAGGGAAGAAGCGAAAGUGACGGUACCUGCAGAAAAAGCGCCGGCUAACUACGUGCCAGCAGCCGCGGUAAUACGUAGGGCGCAAGCGUUAUCCGGAAUUAUUGGGCGUAAAGAGCUCGUAGGCGGUUUGUCGCGUCUGCUGUGAAAUCCCGAGGCUCAACCUCGGGCCUGCAGUGGGUACGGGCAGACUAGAGUGCGGUAGGGGAGAUUGGAAUUCCUGGUGUAGCGGUGGAAUGCGCAGAUAUCAGGAGGAACACCGAUGGCGAAGGCAGAUCUCUGGGCCGUAACUGACGCUGAGGAGCGAAAGGGUGGGGAGCAAACAGGCUUAGAUACCCUGGUAGUCCACCCCGUAAACGUUGGGAACUAGUUGUGGGGACCAUUCCACGGUUUCCGUGACGCAGCUAACGCAUUAAGUUCCCCGCCUGGGGAGUACGGCCGCAAGGCUAAAACUCAAAGGAAUUGACGGGGACCCGCACAAGCGGCGGAGCAUGCGGAUUAAUUCGAUGCAACGCGAAGAACCUUACCAAGGCUUGACAUAUACGAGAACGGGCCAGAAAUGGUCAACUCUUUGGACACUCGUAAACAGGUGGUGCAUGGUUGUCGUCAGCUCGUGUCGUGAGAUGUUGGGUUAAGUCCCGCAACGAGCGCAACCCUCGUUCUAUGUUGCCAGCACGUAAUGGUGGGGAACUCAUGGGAAUACUGCCCGGGGUCAACUCCGAAGGAAGGUUGGGGAUGACGUCAAAUCA